GACGAACGCUGGCGGCGUGCCUAAUACAUGCAAGUAGAACGCUGAAGAGAGGAGCUUACUCUUCUUGGAUGAGUUGCGAACGGGUGAGUAACGCGUAGGUAACCUGCCUUGUAGCGGGGGAUAACUAUUGGAAACGAUAGCUAAUACCGCAUAACAAUGGAUGACACAUGUCAUUUAUUUGAAAGGGGCAAUUGCUCCACUACAAGAUGGACCUGCGUUGUAUUAGCUAGUAGGUGAGGUAAUGGCUCACCUAGGCGACGAUACAUAGCCGACCUGAGAGGGUGAUCGGCCACACUGGGACUGAGACACGGCCCAGACUCCUACGGGAGGCAGCAGUAGGGAAUCUUCGGCAAUGGGGGCAACCCUGACCGAGCAACGCCGCGUGAGUGAAGAAGGGUGUCGGAUCGUAAAGCUCUGUUGUAAGUCAAGAACGGGUGUGGGAGUGGAAAGUUCACACUGUGACGGUAGCUUACCAGAAAGGGACGGCUAACUACGUG
rnacentral:rRNA from 1 species